UGAGUAACACGUAUGCAACCUACCUUUAACAGGGGAAUAACCCGUUGAAAAACGGACUAAUACUCCAUAACACAGGGGUCCCGCAUGGGAAUAUUUGUUAAAGAUUAAUCGGUUGAAGAUGGGCAUGCGUUCCAUUAGCUUGUUGGUGAGGUAACGGCUCACCAAGGCCACGAUGGAUAGGGAACUGAGAGGUUUAUCCCCCACACUGGAACUGAGACACGGUCCAGACUCCUACGGGAGGCAGCAGUGAGGAAUAUUGGUCAAUGGAGGCAACUCUGAACCAGCCAAGUCGCGUGAAGGAUGAAGGUCUUAUGGAUUGUAAACUUCUUUUGCAAGGGAAUAAAGUGGGGGACGUGUCCUCCUUUGCAUGUACCUUGCGAAUAAGGAUCGGCUAACUCCGUGCCAGCCGCAGC
rnacentral:rRNA from 1 species